UUGAUAUUGGAAAAAAAACAUACAUGAUCACCAUCACUUAAUCAUGAAUAGUCAACAUAAAGUACAACUUUCUUUUUCUUGAAUUACAUACCUAACCUAUAUUUAUCUCACCCAUUUUCAAAAUUCCUUUUCACUCUGCAAAUCUGCAUUGCCAUGAAUCCAUAAUCUGUCAUUUGCUUCUUCACCUCCUCUAAAAUCCAUUUAAAAUUGUUAAAAAUCCAAAAAUAUUUCGUGGUAUAGGAAAAAGGAGAGAAAGGAACAAUAUAUAAAAUAAAUUCAGUAGAAAAAAUUGGAAAUUAUGCCUGGCUCCAUCCUGUUUGCCAUCAAUUACGCAAAAAAUAAGAAAAAGGGGCUUUUACAAGAAGUAGACACUACUACAUUGUGCAAUCUCAAAAUGCCUUUGAAUUUACCAGUUUCUUGAAAAGGGCAACUUCUUCAUUCAACAACAGAACCCUCCUGCUCCUAAUGCCACCAUUGUUAAAGUUGGUUUUAGACUCAGAAACAGCCAUUGCCCCUGACUGUGUUCAGUUUCUUUUUAUCUUUUUCAUCAAUGCUACUUGUGGUAUAAAAAUCUUGGAGUCUUCCUUUUCCUUUGUGGAAUUGCAAAGAGAGAAGAUCGAGGAAUUUGGAGGAAACUUUUUAUUGGUUUUGAUUUUCGAAAGGACAUGGGAAUGUAAAAAUGGGAUUGUGGGUUUGCGGGUUUGCAUUUUAUUGGGAUUGGAAAGUUGGGGGGUGGGGGUGCUUGGCCGUUG
rnacentral:lncRNA from 1 species